rnacentral:misc_RNA from 1 species
GAUGAAGAACGUAGCGAAAUGCGAUGAGUAGUGUGAAUUGCAGAAUUCAGUGAAUCAUCGAAUCUUUGAACGCACAUUGCGCCCGCCAGUAUUCUGGCGGGCAUGCCUGUUCGAGCGUCAUUUCAACCCUCAAGCCCUCGGGUUUGGUGUUGGGGAUCGGCGAGCCUUUCUGGCAAGCCGGCCCCGAAAUCUAGUGGCGGUCUCGCUGCAGCCUCCAUUGCGUAGUAGUAAAACCCUCGCAACUGGAACGCGGCGCGGCCAAGCCGUUAAACCCCCAACUUCUGAAUGUUGACCUCGGAUCAGGUAGGAAUACCCGCUGAACUUAAGCAUAUCAAUAAGCGGAGGA